rnacentral:rRNA from 1 species
GACGAACGCUGGCGGCGUGCUUAACACAUGCAAGUCGAACGGUAAGGCCCUUCGGGGUACACGAGUGGCGAACGGGUGAGUAACACGUGGGUGAUCUGCCCUGCACUUCGGGAUAAGCCUGGGAAACUGGGUCUAAUACCGGAUAGGACCACUGCCUGCAUGGGUGGUGGUGGAAAGCUUUUGCGGUGUGGGAUGGGCCCGCGGCCUACCAGCUUGUUGGGGGGGUGAUGGCCUACCAAGGCGACGCCGGGUAGCCGGCCUGAGAGGGUGACCGGCCACACUGUGACUGAGAUACGGCCCAGACUCCUACGGGAGGCAGCAGUGGGGAAUAUUGCACAAUGGGCGCAAGCCUGAUGCAGCGACGCCGCGUGAGGGAUGACGGCCUUCGGGUUGUAAACCUCUUUCAGCACCGACGAAGCGCAAGUGACGGUAGGUGCAGAAGAAGGACCGGCCAACUACGUGCCAGCCGCCGCAGUAA